AAUACCCCAUAAAGAUGCUGAAGAAAGUUUGUGUGACUGUAUGCUACACCGGUAUUGAGUUUAUUUCAUGAUUUUUAGACCUCUAAUAAACGUAAACUUUUCAUUAUAACCCAACAUAAAGCACACUACAGAUUAUUUACAUUUAAAAUUGUAAACAAAGGCGGCCAUUUUGAACUUAGGGUCGCAGGGACGCUAUUUAAAGAAAUCCUAUUAUAUAGAAAAACGAUGCAGAAAUUUAACACAUGCAUGAUUUUUUAAAUUCAGACGUUUGUGAAACAAUUUACACACAAAAUAAAUUAUAUAUCUAUAAAAGUAUGUUUUCCCAUAAAUCCUCUCCUGAUCGCUGAUUGGUUGUAAUUUUCGGCGGGCAAAAUUGAUUGUUGUUUGUGAGAGAAAACCUAGCGUGACUCAAAUGGAACCAUGUCAUGUUUUGAUUGAAUGGAAGAUCCAAAGAUUUUUCUGAGAAUAGGAGACGUCUACUGUUGUUGGGCAUCAUUCAGGUAUGUCUUUCAGAGGGUAUUGAGUAAAAUUUUCUGGAACUUUUUAAAACAAUCUUCCAUUAUGCAUCCUCACUGAAUAUUUUAGUAUGAGGCCGUCCAUAGCCAAUACUGGCAAUUCCCGUCUCAUUUAAACGAUCUUUGACGGGAUAGAUCAUGUUAUCUCUGACUAUACAAAUUUUCCUUUUCUCAUAAAAGAGCAAUGAUAUUUAAUAUUCAUUUCAUAAUCACAACAGAACACAUAAAAACAUGCUUGAUAUUCACCUUUUAGAAUUUUGAAUACAAAAAAAAAAAUAAAAAUUAAAAAAUAUCCUGUCCCGAUUCGGAAACAGGACGUUAUCUAACCUAUUCUUUCACUCUAUAUAUCAUUGUAGGUAUUUCCGGUGUUGACUUGAAACGUUUUCAUUCACGAUGUUGCGGAUUCAUCAUUGCAUUUGCAUGGGGUAGUGCAUAUGUUGUGUGUGGCCUUCUAAACGAUAAAUCUAUGGAUUAAAGGAUGAACAGGUCGAUGCAGGAAUAUUCAUUCUAAUGAUAAGGAAAUACCAAAUGCAAGGACAACCUCCAAGCAUGCAGUAUGCUUUAUACAAACAAUGAUGGGAUGUUCCAUCCUAGAAAUAGUUUCUAUUCUCAAUUAUGGUGCAGCAUCAAAUUAAAGAUGAGAAGUAAAUCAUGUGUCAAUCCCUCAGCAUUAGAAGUGAAAGGCACAGGUGUUUUAGGCAUGAUAUUAAAACCAAAGGCCCCAUAUCACGGUAGGUAUUGGCACGAUAAAGAACCCUCACUGCUACACAACUAAGUUAAGGCUAAUCCCUCCAAAAGUCUCAGUGCUGUACAUAAAUCUACCUUCAAGUUGAGCAAUGCACUUCACACCAUACAAUGUCACAAUGAAAAAGUAAGGCACAACGCACAGGGCUAUAUAUUCAUAUCAUUGUGAAAAUGUUGCAAUAUUUUAGCUGUAUUGACCAAGGCUAUCAAGUUCUAAGCUGUAUACAAAUUUGUUUAAAAUUUUCUGUCAUAUGAUAUAUUUUUCUCUUUGGUAUUGUAGCAAUUUCAAAUUUUCAGUAUAGAACAUGUGCAAAGAUAUUAUUCAUAUGAUUGAUUGAUUGAUUGAUGUUUUCCGCCACACUCAACAAUUUUUCAGUUAUAUGGUGGCGCCCAGUUUUUAUUGGUGGAAGAGAGAACCCAGAUACAAUGUACCUGGGAAGAGACCAUCAACCUUCCGAAAGUAAACUGGGAAACUUUCUCACUUAACGGCAUGAGCGGGAUUGGAACCCUCGCCAACAGAGAAUCCUGAAGUUAUCUUGUACAUGUAAAUGCAUGCAGUGGUGGAUUCAGGAUUUGUUAAAGGCGGGAUAGGGCUCCAGGGUUUUGAGGCUUUUUAGAACUAGAUGAGCAGAAGAUGCAUUCCAUGACUGACUCCCCAUGUGAUAUGAAAGAGAGCCCAUGAGAAUGGAACCAACUUUCAGUGUUACAAUGGAUGAACACUCCUCCUGUCACAAGUCCAUCUUGAUUCAGUAAAGUGGUAGUCUAUUUAUCUAGGAAGCAACAAGACGGAUCUGGACAAGGACCAUAGUGUCUCAAGUUUUGGUGUCAGAAGACCAUUUUGAUUAAACAUGUUAAAAGCACCACAGAAGUAAGAAGCUAGGAUACCAGUUUUAUAAACUAAAGAGUCGAAAGGCCCAGCUGGAGAGAAAUUCCCAUUUCUCGACUAAGGACCAAAAAAAAAAAAAGAUUAAAAAGGUGCUGACUAAGGAGGCAACGUCUCCAGAAGUAACGGAUGAUGAGGAAGCCACCCAGAGGAAGGUCUUACCAUUUAUAUGGGAGUCAUCCCUGCUGCGUAAUGUUAAGUGCAACCUGGACAGAUAGUAUGCUGAAUCUUUGCAACUUCAAUCAAAGAGACAAAAAGCCAAGGCCAUUAGAAGUAGAAUGGAAAUGACUAUGACCCCACCACCUAGGAGCAUUCAAGAGUGGGCCGUUUCCUCUACUUAUAAAUGAUGCUAUUACUGUUAAUAGUUAUAUUUAAUUUCCUCAUUUCUAGCUCAACUGAGCCAAAGGCUCAUGGUCACAAUUAAUACUUUUAUACCAUUAUAACCAGUUUUUAUUAAAUUUUAAUAAUGCUGUUGAAGGAGAAUUGCAAUUUUUCGGAUGUUUAUAAUUGACACUGUUUAAGUAUGUCUAGCAUCUUAAAAAGUGUGAUGACCUAUAUAUUUCAUUUGAUAAUUUAUUAAUUUUAACUUUAAUAAAUUGAAAUAAAUGCAUUUUUGAUACUUUUAUCAGAGAAUAUUGCAAGUAUGGAGUUACCUUGAUAUAUUUAUACAGAUUUGUUCUGCUUUAGUACAGGUGUAUCAGUAUUAUUACAUCAAGUUCAUUUGUGUGAAUAUUAUAAUAUUUAAGAAUGAAUAAAACUGUCAAAUUGUG